rnacentral:rRNA from 1 species
GACGAACGCUGGCGGCGUGCCUAAUACAUGCAAGUAGAACGCACAGUUUAUACUGUAGCUUGCUACACCAUAGACUGUGAGUUGCGAACGGGUGAGUAACGCGUAGGUAACCUGCCUGGUAGCGGGGGAUAACUAUUGGAAACGAUAGCUAAUACCGCAUAAUAUUGAUUAUUGCAUGAUAAUUAAUUGAAAGGUGCAAUUGCACCACUACCAGAUGGACCUGCGUUGUAUUAGCUAGUAGGUGAGGUAACGGCUCACCUAGGCGACGAUACAUAGCCGACCUGAGAGGGUGAUCGGCCACACUGGGACUGAGACACGGCCCAGACUCCUACGGGAGGCAGCAGUAGGGAAUCUUCGGCAAUGGACGAAAGUCUGACCGAGCAACGCCGCGUGAGUGAAGAAGGUUUUCGGAUCGUAAAGCUCUGUUGUAAGAGAAGAACGGGUGUGAGAGUGGAAAGUUCACACUGUGACGGUAUCUUACCAGAAAGGGACGGCUAACUACGUG